rnacentral:rRNA from 1 species
CCUACGGGAGGCAGCAGUGAGGAAUGUUGGUCAAUGGACGCAAGUCUGAACCAGCCAUGUCGCGUGCAGGAAGACGGCCCUAUGAGUUGUAAACUGCUUUUGUACGAGGGUAAACGCAGAUACGCGUACCUGUUUGAAAGUAUCGUAUGAAUAAGGAUCGGCUAACUCCGUGCCAGCAGCCGCGGUAAUACGGAGGAUUCAAGCGUUAUCCGGAUUUAUUGGGUGUAAAGGGUGCGUAGGCGGGCGGUUAAGUUAGAGGUGAAAUCCCGAGGCUCAACUUCGGAAUUGCAUCUGAUACUGGUCGGCUAGAGAGUAGUUGCGGUAGGCGGAAUGUAUGGUGUAGCGGUGAAAUGCUUAGAGAUCAUACAGAACACCGAUUGCGAAGGCAGCUUACCAAGCUGCAACUGACGUUGAGGCACGAAAGCGUGGGGAGCAAACAGGAUUAGAUACCCUUGUAGUC